AUUGAACGCUGGCGGCAUGCCUUACACAUGCAAGUCGAACGGUAGCAGGUCUUCGGAUGCUGACGAGUGGCGAACGGGUGAGUAAUACAUCGGAACGCGCCUAGUAGUGGGGGAUAACUACUCGAAAGAGUGGCUAAUACCGCAUGAGAUCUACGGAUGAAAGCAGGGGAUCGCAAGACCUUGUGCUACUAGAGCGGCCCAUGGCAGAUUAGGUAGUUGGUGGGAUAAAAGCUCACCAAGCCGACGAUCUGUAGCUGGUCUGAGAGGACGAUCAGCCACACUGGGACUGAGACACGGCCCAGACUCCUACGGGAGGCAGCAGUGGGGAAUUUUGGACAAUGGGCGCAAGCCUGAUCCAGCAAUGCCGCGUGCAGGAUGAAGGCCUUCGGGUUGUAAACUGCUUUUGUACGGAACGAAAAGCCCUGGGUUAAUACCCUGGGGUCAUGACGGUACCGUAAGAAUAAGCACCGGCUAACUACAUGCCAGCCGCCGCGGUAA
rnacentral:rRNA from 1 species